UACGUAGGGUCCAAGCGUUAUCCGGAAUCACUGGGCGUAAAGCGUGCGUAGGUGGCGCGUUAAGUGAGAUGUUAAAUCGUGGGGCUCAACCCUGUCGGUGCAUCUCAUAUUGGCGUGCUAGAGGACAGCAGAGGCAAGUGGAAUUAGCAGUGUAGCAGUGAAAUGCGUAGAUAUUGCUAGGAACACCAAUGGCGAAGGCAGCUUGCUGGGCUACUCCUGACACUGAGGUACGAAAGCGUGGGGAGCGAACAGG
rnacentral:rRNA from 1 species